rnacentral:rRNA from 1 species
GACGAACGCUGGCGGCGUGCUUAACACAUGCAAGUCGAACGGUGAACCUCUUCGGAGGGGAUCAGUGGCGAACGGGUGAGUAACACGUGGGCAACCUGCCCCCGGCUCUGGGAUAACUCCAAGAAAUUGGGGCUAAUACCGGAUGUUCACCGCUUCCCGCAUGGGUGGUGGUGGAAAGGGUUUCCGGCUGGGGAUGGGCCCGCGGCCUAUCAGCUUGUUGGUGGGGUAGUGGCCUACCAAGGCGACGACGGGUAGCCGGCCUGAGAGGGUGACCGGCCACACUGGGACUGAGACACGGCCCAGACUCCUACGGGAGGCAGCAGUGGGGAAUAUUGCGCGAUGGGCGGAAGCCUGACGCAGCGACGCCGCGUGGGGGAUGACGGCCUUCGGGUUGUAAACCUCUUUCAGCAGGGACGAAGCGCAAGUGACGGUACCUGCAGAAGAAGCACCGGCCAACUACGUG